GUAAUUUCCCAGGGUCACAAAAGUCCAGGGCAAGCACUAUGUUGUGCAUGAACAGGGUCUGCACCCCAUUUACUAUCUGGAGCCUACACUCACAGAAUUAAGGAGGCCGGAGGUCAAGCGGAAAAGGAAAGUUUAUCUUGCUUAUCUCUUGCCUAUCUGGGAGACAAGAUGGCCCUCCUGAGUUUUUGCCAAGGAAACAAAGGCCUCCAGCAGAGGGCGACUUUCAAGAACGGAGUAGAACGAUGGUUGGGUGUGCCGGCUCUCAGAAGAGGGUGAGGGGGGAAAUCUCACCCACCAAGGCCCUUUCCCAAGGCAUUCACACCCUACCUUGACUCCUUUCCCAUUAAUAAGACGCCCAGUGAUAACCGUGAUGCUUUAAAAUUAGGUUGGUGGCUUUGCAUUAAUUUCUCAACUCACCUGAUGAUAAUUUCCUGAAUAAUUUCCCAGGAGACAAUUACUGUUUCCAUUUUUAUAAACUCUAAGCAAGCCUGCACUAUGCCCAUUUAAGUUUACUUAAACAAACAUUCUAGGAUGGAAACAGAUAUAACAGCAACAUUCACAAUCUCAUUGUUGGAAAAGGUAACUAAUGGAGUCCAUUAACUUGAAAUUCUCUCUUGCCCUCACAAAUGAAUCACCUCAUCCUUAUAGAACUGUCUGAAAUAUGCACACCUUUGAAAAAAAAAAAAAGAAUGAAGAUUUCCAAAUCUUAUCUUCCGAAUCUUAUCCUCAUUAUACCUAAAUCCAGAUGAAGAAAAUUCAGGUCCAUACCAUUUCAUUUCUAGGAAAAAGCCUUUACUGGAUAAAGAUUCCUCACAUACAUAAUUAUCUUAUAAAGUUCUCAACCAAGUAUUCUCAUGUAUCGAUUCACCUGGAUGACCACGCAGAACGAAAAUUAAGUACGUCAAUAUUUAAUAGAGAUGACGAUUUACUGAGUCCCUUCUGUGAACCAGCUUUACACAUAACUGCUGCGGUGAAGAAGUUGCACCUAACCACUGUUUUACAGGGUGAAAAACCCUGUCCAAGAUCCUCUCCUGCUCCAUGCCCCUACACCUGCCCACAGGCAAAGCUUGCCAGGACAGAAGCAGCCCAAUGA
rnacentral:lncRNA from 1 species